UACGACCAUAUCAUGUUGAAACACCGAUUCUCGUACGAUCACGCAUAUUAAACAACGUCGAACCUGUUUAGUACCUAGGUAGGUGACCACUUCGGAAUACCAGGUGCU